ensembl:lncRNA novel transcript
GGUUCUUGUUGCUUUGGAGACCACAGGAGAGGCGGUGGUGAUGGCCCAUCGCUUCAGCCCUGUGGCAUCCCCACAGGAUCCAUGGGCAUCAAGUAAUUUCCCUGUGCUCCUCUGAAGAUAAACCGCUGCCUGCACCAGCCUAGCAGCUUCCAGAAGCUGUGGAUGAGAAGCAAUCUCCCACCAAAAGCCAGAGCUCACCUGCAAAGCUUCAAUCCCAAGCAGAAGGAAGCCUCCGUUUUUUCCCCCCAGAUGAGCCUGAAUUCACCUCCAGAAAGUCUCAAUGCAUCACACCAAGGGUCACACACCUGCUCAUGGUUCUUCUUGAGGCAAAGCAGCUCCUCCUUCAGGGACUCCAGCUGGGCCUCCAGGUCACACUUGGCGAGGGUGAGGUUGUCUAGCACCCUGCGCAGGCCACAGAUGUCAGCCUCCACCAGCUGUUGCAGCGAGCGCUCUCUCUCGUACCUGUAACAGGGAAAGUGCAGGAGUGACAGUUAGAGGGCAGGAAGGGGCACCAGGACAUGACUCCCAGCUCGCAGCUGUAAGUCCACUGGCCUGCCCUUUGCCAUCUAAUUGUGAGUUGGCUUAUCCUGUGUAGUGUGCUCAAAGCCCAGAAAGCAACAGGAUGUUCCCCACUCAGUCAAUACUAAGCACCUGAGAUGAACCAAGGGGAGCAGCUGGUACUGAGGAUACUGUGAUGGACACACAGCCAGCACCUGCCUUUACACACAAUGGCCCAAAAGGGAGGUGGCAAAGUAACCAGGCAUUUGCAACACAGUGCAAUCACUGCAGGCCCCUCUCUACAAGCCCCAUACCCAAAGGGACCCUGGAUUCCCUAUUAGAGUAAAAGCCACAUUGCCAGCAUGAGAGGAAGGAAAUGGCUUUCUUUAGCUCUAGAAGAGUGAGACUUGCACAGUGCCCCGAAGAAAGAUGAUAAAACACAAUGCCCUUCCAGCACCCAGGGUAGACCCUCCUCAGGUGGUGUCAACCCUUUGACUUUCACAUGUUUUCAUCUUAGGCUAUGGAGCAUGAUUUCUGCUAUGAAUUAUCAGCACUCACAAAUUAAUCAAGCUGCAGCACAGAAACAUAUCCUUAUUAAGGCAACAGUUUCACAGGAAAUUGCUUCAAGAAAGGAAAAUUUGGUACAAAAUUUAAGGCCAAGUCCCAGCUCUGCCACUCGGUACCCACAUGGCUUCUGGCAAGUCACACCAGCACCCCAAGCCUCAGGGUCCCCACCUGUGGAGGAGAUUCUAUCCCUGCCCGCCUGCUUCACAAGUUGCUUACCAGGUGGAUGAUGCAUUCUAGCACAUGUUGUAAACUGUUAAUGCUAAACCACUGGAGAGCGGAUAGUUUUUCAGGAUCUUGAGCUUAAUGCCCUUUGUUCUCUUCUGCUAUAACUACUGGGUUGGGGUCUGGGUCAAUGACAUCCGAUGCCACAUGAGACAGAAGCAGCCAACUUGGCAUUGUCCCAUCCCCAUCCAACCCCAACUCUCACUUGGCUCCUUCCCAUCCCUGUCCAACCCCAACUCACUUGGUCCUGAAGUCAUCUGCAGCCAAUUUGGCAUUGUCUAUUUGCACAACCAGCCUAUUGUUCUCCGAUUUGGUGCACAGAAUCUGGGGUAAGAAAGUAGGCUCAGUAAGUGACUUACUGAUCCCAGAGACACCUAUAGCCUCAGGUGAGAGGAAGUUUUAUUGGCUGAAGUUGAACCUACAGCAUCCGCCUGGACAACACAAACUCCCAAACGUGCAAGAGAUGCUUUUGUGGUGUGGGAAGGAAGAUGUGCAAGAGACUUCUUGGAAAAGGAUGAAGACAUAGAGUCAAAGGAACCAGGAGAUGGAAGACAGUAGCAAACUGAACAUAUAACAAAGACUUGCUUUCAUUUUGCCAGAUAUGAUGCUUAGCCCAAUAUAAAUAAGAAGAUCUGGCCGGACGCAGUGGCUCAUGCCUGUAAUCCCCGCACUUUGGGAGACCAAGGCAGAUGGAUCACCUGAGACAGCUGCAAAGAUUUCGAGGUGGAAGAGAGCUCACUGAGAGACCGGAAAAAGACUUCAUGGAGUAGGGGAUUUUCCAAAUAUGUUUUGAAUGAUAUUUUUUAUAAAGGGUUGGGGAAUGAGCUUCUCUCAUAGAGAACAAAAUAAACACAAUCAAACAUUUGGAAAAUG